rnacentral:misc_RNA from 1 species
AAGUCGUAACAAGGUUUCCGUAGGUGAACCUGCGGAAGGAUCAUUAAUGAAAUGAUAAUUUUUUGGGGUUUUCCCUGAAAAAUAAUUCACCUUUUGUGCAUUGUUAUUAGAUAUACUUUGGUUAGAGCUUUGAUUUCAUUUAUUGGAAUCAACUUCUUGCUAACUCUAUCCUGUUAAGGACAGUUGGCUAUGAAGCGGCCUACCAAGGUUUUUUUAUCAAACUCUUGUAUUUUGUCUGACCUAAACUAUUAUAAUUAAAUCAUAACUUUCAACAACGGAUCUCUUGGCUCUC